UUCAAAUUUGAGUCCAAACCCCAAAAAAUGCCCAUAAGCAUAAGCGCUUUUUCCAAAAGCCGCGCUUAUUUCGCAAAAGCUAUUUUUUUCUCUCAUCUUCUUCACAUAACAACAACAACAAUACGUUCAAACUCUUCAUCUAGAUCUUCAUCUAGUUUUUCAGAAAAAAUGGAUACAACAAACAACCAACAACCAGAUUCAGUUUUCGAUUAAGAAUUGUUUCAAUUACGGUUUCGCGGUUCUAUUUGAGCUUCACGACUAUGUUUGUUGUUUGCGAAGGUUUUUUUGUUCAGAAUCGAAUUGCUACUCAGUUCUGUUUUGGUUUGAGUUUGGAGGCUUCGACUCAGUGCGGAGUUUGGAUUCGAGCAGAGCUUUUCAAGAUUUUGGUUUAAGUUAUAAUUAAAGCUAGUAUACAACAUCAUAAAGCUAAAUUGGAUGAGCGCUUACUAGUUGAAAUGAAGAAAAAAGCAAAUUUUGUCCUUGCUCACAAGAUGUUCGAUGAAAUGGCACCAACAUGCUUUCAAGGCUUCUUCAUGUGUGUCACCGUGUAGCAAAGCAACCCAAAGAUGGGAUAACACUUUUUCCUUUUUGUGAAGCAAAUAGAAGAUUGAUGGCCCUUUCUCUGAUUUCACUGCAUCUUCCAUGUACAACUACUUGUAUCUCAUGUUACUAAACCUAUUAUCUAUAUAUCCUUCUCAGGUGUGUAGAAAUGGUUCAUUUCACUUGCGAGGAAAUGUCUACGUACAGUACAAGUUGUUGGAUUCUGCUCUGCUUGCUUAUAACUCAAUUAAUGGUCGCUAUUUUGCUGGGAAACAGAUGCAAAUAACAAUAGGAAAGUAUCACACCUUAGCGAUCAGCAACUCCUCGGUCUAUUCAUGUGGUUCUAGCUUGUGUGGUGCACUUGGUCAAGGGUCUGAAACAACACAGCUUCCAGCAUUGGCCUGAAUCAGUUUCCCACCUUUGGCGCAUGUCACGCAUGUUUUGGCCUCCUAUAACCAUGCAGCUUUUGUUAUGCAAUCUGGAGAGGUAUACACUUGUGGAGAUAAUUCGUAUUUCUGCUGUGGUCAUAGAGAUACAAAUCGAGCAAUUUUCAGGCCACGUCUUGUUGAAUCCUUAAAGGGGAUUCCUUGCAAGCAGGUAAAAUGCAGAUCAUACUUUCAUCAUCACUUUUGUUGACUGAAUGGAAGUUAAUGGUUGGUCCGUAUUACAUGUUCAUAUUAUUUUUACUCUGACAUCUUUUGCUAUAGAUUUUAUCUUGUCUGAUAUUGUUUAAAAUUGUCUAUCAAGUCUUUCCAUGAAGUCUCCAAUAAAAUCCAUUUUAUAAUUCCAAUCAUAGUCACUUAAUUUACUGUAGUAUAUAGAGAGGGUAUUGCGAAUUGGUUUGCAACGGCCAAUUCGCGGCAGUCUUCUGAAUCGAUUAACUGAAAUUCUGGAUGAAUUCGUAAAAAGUUGCAAACCAAAAAGAUGGAAAAGUAAGUGUUUUGAAGGGGAUUCUCUUGUGGGAAUGAAUGAGGAGUUAUCAAAGUAGAGAAUGUUAUUUAAUAAAUGAAUGUUAGUUUAUGCUAGAGCACGGUGUUUCUUUGACAGCCGAGACUCUGGAAGGUAUCAUUCAAGAAGAUCUAAGUCUAGAGAGAUAAAUCAAUCUAAUGGGGGUCGUUCUGAUAGAAGAAAACAUGAAGACGAAACAAAACAAAGAACUCAUGCCGAGGAGUGGAAUACCGACUUUAAAGGCAACCAUAAAAGGAAGCGCGGAAACAGAACUCCUGAUAUUGAGUUAGAAGAGAAAGAUAGGGAAAAAUAUCAUGAACACAGAAGGAAAAGCUCAUUUAAUACGAUUAAAGAUGACAGUAGCGGAAGGCGUGAUGAGUAUUCUGAGGUGGAUAGAGCAACUGUAAACAGGGACCAUGAAAAGCAGCAUGAUAGAAAAAGAAGGAACUCACGAAUGUCGGAUUGGGAUAGUAGGGACUGUACUUAUGAGGCUGGAUCUGAUGAGGAUAGUAAUAUAAGAAGGCACCGUAGUAGCCAAAGGAAAGGAUCAAGACAUCAGAGCAGGGACAACAGUAAUGUUACUGAUGAACCUGACAAAAAUAGAGGCCAUGAAAAGUUUUCUGAUGUGGACUAGAGAACACCGAAGCUAACCGUCAAGUAUGGCGUAAAAUUAUAUAUGAAGAAAGUGUUAUGACUUGGUUAAAAUAUAAUUUUUAUGUGUAUGAUUUUAUAGUACUUGAAAUAUUAUGAAUGCACAUGAUUUUGUAUA